rnacentral:rRNA from 1 species
ACCCUACGGGGCGCAGCAGUGGGGGGAUAUUGGACAAUGGGGGGAACCCUGAUCCAGCGACGCCGCGUGAGUGAAGAAGUAUUUCGGUAUGUAAAGCUCUGUCAGCAGGGAAGAAAGCAAUGACGGUACCUGACCAAGAAGCCCCGGCUAACUACGUGCCAGCAGCCGCGGUAAUACGUAGGGGGCAAGCGUUAUCCGGAAUUACUGGGUGUAAAGGGAGUGUAGACGGCUGUGCAAGUCUGGAGUGAAAGGCGGGGGCGCAAACCAAGGAAUGCUAUGGAAAAUGUAUGGCUGGAGUGGAGGAG